ACAGGAAACGGGGGCUCCUGGGAAAAUCUGCAGUCACUGACUGGGAAGAGGGAGGAGUGUUUGGAGGUAGCAGAGAUGGGUAGCCUGUAGUUGCUCACUGGGAGAAGAGAGUGGUGAAGCUGGCAGACCCAGAGAAGGAAGGGAGAGCCAAAGGUUAGGACAGCUCAGGGAAAUGCAGUAAGCAGAGAGACAAGGACUGUAGAAAGACCCGAGGAGGAAUAGAAGACAUUUGAGUUGAUUAUUUGGGAUUUUAAGGACAGUGGUGACCAUGGAAGGAGGGUGACACUAGGGGAACCUGGCAAGGUCCCAACACAAGAGACCAUCUGAAAGGCCAUAAGGGGCACUCUAGGAUGGUGGACCUGUUACACAGUGCUACAGAUUUGAACCCCUGCUAACAGGGCACUUGGGUGAAAGAAGUACAGAGACACACCUUCCACUACAGAUCUAGUGGUAUGGCCACAUAUAAUUAUCUACAAUUAUAUACUUCCUCAAAGCUGUGAAACAAACCAGGAUUUGAGCUGAUAUAUGACAAAGGAUGGAACAGAUGAAUGGAGUAACCCACGACCAGUCCCAUGGUGUCCAAGGCAGAAUCAAUAAGGAGCAAGAUCUUAAAACAAGUGACACAUUCUAGUUUUUUUCACUCUAGUUGUUCUCAGGACACUGAUAAGGUUGGACUGGAAAGGGGAGAUGAUUCCAAAAAUUGAUAUAGCAUGGUACUGAAGCCUAAAGACCAAGCAAAAGUUUGUUGGUGUGAAUCAGAGGACAGGCUAAGGAUGUUAUCAAAGUGAACAUAUAAUGUAAUGGACAAAACAAGUAUUGAACAAAUGAAGUACAGAUGGAAAGAGAAAAUACUUUCUGCAUGGAAAGACAAAAGCACAAGAGUUUAAAAAUAACCUGGUUUUUCAAACUGUAGCGCCUGGAAAUAGUGAUCAAGAGAUAGUGUUUGUGACUUGCAUUUUAGAACAGCAGAUAAAUCUGAUCUUUUUAUUCAGUACUCCAGAUUCUCUCCCGAGUUCUGAACAACUGGGUCUGUUCGUUACAGCUUUUAAUAAUAAUGGAAUCAAUUUUAUUUGUCCCCAAUUUUGCCCUAAGCAGGCAAUAUGAAAUAAAGUAUUAUGAAGUGAUGUAGUAAUCACCUGUUUGUGCAUGUCCGUUACUUGGAGAUUCUGCGACAGCAUCUAUCUGAAGGGACUGCAUCCUCUUCACAAGUUCAGUUGGCCCAGGGUACACUUUCUGUACACAGGAAAAAAAAUAUCAUGAAGCAGGUGAAAGUUUAAGCAAAGGAAGUAUCUUUACUGUAGAAACCAAAUGCAUCCCCUCAGCGAGUGGCCCAAGUGAACAGCUUGCACAGAUUUCACGUUCUUUGGUGGAAUGCUGGUGGACCAUGAUCCUUGCUUUGUGGGGCUUGCUUACUAGUGAGGUUAAGUUUACAGACAAGCAGUGUCUACUUUCAAGGAAGGCAGGAAUGAUUACUAUGUAAAUAUAGGGCAUGAUGCUCUGAUCUGGCCAAGUUGUGCCCUUACUCACACUGACUACUACCUUAGUCCAUGAGCUAAUCCCAUUGGACUAGACAGUGACUCUCUGCACUGCUUCCACCUCAGGGCUGUACCUACAAGUCAUAGACUUAUCACAAUGCAAUCUACAGGAUUGCUUGCAGAGUAAGAUGCUGCUUAAAGGGUAGCAGAAUCAUGCCCUAUUUUAUGUAUUUACAUGUAGAGUUUAACUGGAAAAAAAAAAAUCCACGGCUAUGGCCUUGUUCUGACAACUGUUUAUAUGUGGGAUAUGGGGACAGUGAGCUUGGUGAAGAUCCUUGGAAGGAAUGUUUCAUAGUGUUUCACUGCACUUUCACCUUUGCAAAUCCUUGUCUUUAUUUCUCAAGGCCGAAGAAAUAAUCAUCUUUACCCUGGCAUUUUGAUGUUCCAGCCAUUCAUGCCUUUUUGAUGUCCUUACUCAAGUAAAACUUGACGUCAAAUGCAGUUUUACCAGAUUAAGGACUUCUGGAUUUGACCUCUUGUUCUUACUUGCACUUCUCAGAAGGUCAUUAGUCACUGUCUUACCAGGAAGUCUUUUCACAAAUUAAAAACCAACAACAAUCUCUUCCUGUAAACGUAUCUUGAUCCCAGGUUUUCAAAGUUAAAAACUUCAUUUUGGCCUUCUGUUAGGGCCUGAUUCUGACACCCUGCUUAUGUAACUGUGUAUUACCCUGCUCCAGGAAAAGUCCCAUUGGUAAAGAGUGCAGCAUACUCCACCCUUGUCUUAUUUAAAAGGGAUUAUUUUCAGAGAAAAGUGCUACUCAAAAAUCAAACAGUAAAAAGCUUCAAAACAUAUUGGUACAGCUUUGUUACUUGACCAUAUUCAUUUGCUUUUAUGUUGUAUCCUUAUCUCCUACCCGUUGUCUGUUUCUGCCUUCAGACUCUCAGCCAUUGAGGGCAGCGAUUGUUUCUUUUGUGCUUGUGCAGAACACAGCACAAUCCUGAUUGGUAGCACCCAAAAGCCCCAUAAUAUAAAAUAUUUACUACUCAGAAUUAGUAUGGGUGUUAGAAUCAGUUCCAGUAGAAUAUUUAUUGUCUGUUUUGUCAACUUUAUUUUGCAAAGUUUUGCUAUCUUGCCAAAGAAUACUGGACACGUCUUCAAAGUCACCGCAUGGAUUUCCCAAAUCAGAAAUGUUUUAAAUUCCCCAUCCUGCAAUUUCAGGGAGAGGGAAAGCACCUGACAAAAUAUGGCUGUGUAGCAGAACGGCGGCACCAUGGGGACACUUUCACUUAUUAGUUUAAAAUAUUGGGGAUGCAAUCCUUGUCACCUGCAUAUAAAUGGUACUUUCAUUUCAGGGUUCAGCCACAGCAUCAGGCCCUUAAUGUCAGUAGGACUACUCCAAUAAGUAAAUGUUUUCUAGUGUGACUAAGGGCUCCACAAUCUGGCCCAAAGCAUUUGCCAGGAAGUAACUUGCCUUUCAUUAUUAUUUCAGAUCAGGAAAGCAUCCUUCUGCACAACAGUUUGCAAGCUACAUCCAAUGGGAGGAACAGGGAACCAAGUUACAGCUGAGAGAGGACUCAAAACUUUGAAUUUCCUGACUUUUUUCUUGUUUAGAUUACAGUAAUGCUUAGAGGUCUCAACCAGGUUCAGGCCUCUCUGUGCUAGGUACUAUAUAAACAUAUAGUAAACUAUGUAUUCAAAAAACUCAGCAAUAGCACUUCAUAAGCUGUGAACCAGAUUCUGUCACCUUAACUCAUGUUGAAUAGUAGCUUGCUCAACAAAUAGCCUCUUUUAAUUUCCAUUAACGUUAAUGCAGUAACACCAGUAUAAAACUAAUGUAAAUGUGAUUUCAGGAGGAUUUCUAAUGGAGGAAAGUUCUACUCACUGGCGAUCAGAAUCUAGCUAACAGGGCUUUUUUUACAUUUAGCAGGGGCUGGAUUCUGCCAUCCAUACUCACACUAAGUAGCCCUUUACUCCACAAGCAGACCUAUUGGAAUAAGUGGGAGUGCUUAUUGAAUAUAGUAUUACUUAGUGUGAGUAAGGGUGUUAGAAUUUGGCCCUGUAUGUAUGUAUGUGUGUGGGUUUUUUUACUUACAAGUUUACGCUCGGAAGCAUCUGGGAUGCUACUUACCUUUAUCUUUCUCAAGUCAUCUUCAACAUCUUUUUCUAGUUGCUCACAGUAAAAUGGCUUGUAUUUCUGACUAAUUUCUGCAGGAAAGGAAGAGUUGAGGAAAGUAGUUUUAAACAGCAAAUAUAAAUGACUGUGCUGCUUAGCUCACUUCCACCAAAACAUUAACCAGUUAGUUACAUAAGUUUAUAAACAGGAGUGGGCUCAUAAAAAUGUAAGCAAUGUUAGCAGGGCUGAUUUAGUCUUAAAAAAGAAUGUAAUAAGAACUGAAUUCUUGUUCACUUUUAAGUAUUGCAUACACUCAGUUGCACUGGGCUAUUUAAUAAACACCUCCCUACCCAACUGCAAAGCCCGCACAGGCUGUGACUUUAAGACAGGUGACUACAAAGAUAGUGAGGGACAGCCAGGGUCUUCCAACAGCAUUAGGCUUGGCUUCCUAUGUUCUAAGCUCCUGUAGUGUCUUAGCAAGACAAAGGAACACUUCUAUCCAGCUUUAGGGUCAAACUGCUAUAUAAUCACUGGCCUGAGCCAGGGAGCUCUGGAUAACAGGUGUCACCCACAGCAUAUGCCCUUUUCAUGUUAUCAGCUGUGUAAUGGAACCCUAUUCUUUGAGAGACCCCCGCUAGGGUGCAUGGAGGGAGCAGGUUUCUGUGCUCCCCCAAGCACAAGGACUGCAAUUUGGGACUGGCCCUUUUGCUGGGCAUGCAAAAAGAGGAAUAAGCCUUCUACCUCAUCCAUCCCCCUCAUCUCACCUGUGCCAUGGGGAGUCAAAAUCUGUAAAGCACCUCAUAUACAAACUAUAUCCCAAAUGGAGUGCCUUGCUCCAUGAGUGGUCCCAUUGACUGGGUCUGCUAUUAACAGCUUUAUAAUACUACUUACCUUCUCUGAGAAGUAUUUUAUUAUCAUUGUCUCCAGUUUCCUGAUGAGGAGAAACUGAGGCACAGUACUCCUAUAGACCUGAUGUACUAGCAGCAGAAUAUGCAGGUUUGACAAUGGGAUAGCAAGCAGGCCCCUAACAGGAUACUGAAGAGCUUAAAAAAAUGCAGGGGGUGCAUGUUUGUGUGGUGAACUUUUAAGCUGGCAAAGCUCCACUGAAGUCAAUGAAACUAUACCAAUGUAUAUCUACAGAAAUAUGUGGUCCAGAGUUUAUUCAGAAUUCAGAUCAUGGACUUGACUUGUGUGUGUGAGGAGAUUAAUUUUUAUUUUGAAAAGAAACCUGAGACACACAAACCUGUGACAAACAAAAGUCAUGACUUUCUGAAAGGAAGGAUUAAGCUCAUUUGCCAUAUUUUGUAAAACACUGGAUAUGUCCAAACAAAAAUAAUCCUGAAGCAGUAUUUUACCUGAGAA